AAUGGGGAGAAAAUUCUGGAUAUUUGAAAAGCAUGAAUGUUUCCAAGUCAUCUGUCUAUGACAUAUUUAGGAAAACAUUCUACUUCCUCAUCAACCCAUUAAUUUCAUUCUUCUUAGAAGGUCUCACUAACUAAGCCUUCCUCAGCAGCUCUUACAUCUACCUCCUAUCUCACUCCAUUCUAAUGAUAUGUUUGUUGGUCCAUAGUCUUUGCAUUUUAGGAUGGAGAGAUUGGCAUCUGGCCAUCUGUACACAUGGUUGUUGAUAUGGUACACAGCACAAAGAGAAGAGGGCAGCCUCAUUGACUGGCAAAUGGGUAGAGUUUGUGACUCUAAACCAACAUGAUAGUGUACUUAAAUGUCUUGAGACAAGAAUAAUUCUAGGUGCUCUAAAACUAGGCUUCAGUUUUAGAGCCCUUGUCUAGUAUACCAUGAAAUACUUCUUGUGUUGAAUAGAAAUCCUCAGGUGUACCAUAUUCUAUUGUCUGAAAUGGAUGUAAAUGAUCAGGGAAUGAUACUCUGAUGUUUUGUGGGAGAUUCAAAAUGAAGAAUCUAAAUACAAGUAGAAAAUUAGCUACUGAUUACUUCAACAGCUGCCAUGUACACAAAUGCACAUGCAUUUGCACACACACACACACACACACACACACACACACACACACACACACCCCUAAGCACAAUUCUGUUAUUGUGUGCAUUUGAAAUAUCUGCCCAAACUUAUGUAUUCCAUAGGUGUUACAGCUGUAGGGAGAUGAUGAGAAUUUUUGGAGGUGUGGCUUGAUAAAAUAAUUGAGGUCAUUGUGAGUGUGACUUCAGUUGGAAUAUUGAAACUCUGGUCUAUUUUCUCUCUUUUAGCUUCCUGACCACCAUGAGGAGAACAGUGCCCUUCUUCACACACUUUGCUAUCAUGAUGCACUACCUCCAGACAGACUCAGUAGAAACUUGGCCAACUAAGAACUAAUACCUAUGAAUCAUGAGCCAAAAUAGUCAUUUUCUUUUAAAGUUGUUUAUCUCAAAUAUUUUUAAUGGCAAUGAAUAGCUUCUAACACACCACACAAACCCAAAGCACUCUGAAACAACCUGCAGAUAGUAACACCAAUAGAAGUGUUUCCUGAUGGGACAGGAGGCUGGCUCCUAGCAGGAAAAAAAUCAAGCUAACUUGAUGGAGUGAAAAGAAUUGAGUUUCUUUCUCACCUUUCUGCUUUCUGAGAAUUUAUGUGAUUUGGUCAUAAAUGUAGCCCAAGAGGCUGAGCCUGAUUUAGUGAAUAAGUUAUCUAAACUCUUGCCUAGCAAUAACUAAAAUGCAUUAGUUACAGAGUUUAGACAUGAAAAGGUGCUUAACAGUACUGGCAAAUAUAGACAGCUCAAAUGCAAUGUGCUAAGUAAUAGAAAGAAUUUGUGGAAUGAUGUGGGCCCUAACAUGGAAGAGAAAAUAUAUGGGCUGAUUUUACAAAAUGCAGAAUCCAUAAUCAGAUGAAGAGUGCAGAAUGAAGUGGAAAGUACUCCAUGAAGAAGGAAAAUAUAAAUCAAAGCAUGAGAACCUUGAAGUAUGGUAAAUUGGGACCAUGGUGAGAAAUUCAAUAGCAUAAAGACAGGAAGACAGGAGCAGAAGUAGACAGUGGGUGAUCUGAUCUCUUCAGAAGAUAAGGAACCCAUCAUAAAAUGCCUGGGAAGCCAGGGUAAGGACUUUCUCUGUCCUGGGAAGUCCCAGGAGAUUCCAUGAGUGUAGCAUGGUUUACCCAGAAGACAGAACAUUCUUCUUCAUGCUGUUACAUUUCGCCAGUGGUCUUAAUAUUUUAUGGCCUGGAUUGUCAUUUCUCAAGAAAUGUGGUGAAAUUCCUAUGCAUAGGUAGAAACCACUCCUUAGAAUUGUGGAUUAUAUUUGACAUUAGGGGACUAGGAGAAGAACAACAAAAGACCAGAAUGAAGACACACAAUUGCUAUCCUUUUCCAUCAAUAGAUCCAAUAAGAAACAGAGUCUCCAAAUAUAUAUAUAGGAAUCAUGGGGUUGGAACCACUGAAUCACCUUCUAAGAAAAGUAGUAGAAAUAGGAAGCAGAUGGAGGGGGUCCUGAAGAAGAAGCUAGAAUCAGAAGGAAGGGGAGAUGUAACUGACCGUUUCUCUUCCACUUGCCAGUUCCCAAAUAGCCAUUUGGAGACUUAAUAUUAAUUACAAACAUUUGCAGGAUGGUUCAGGCUCAUCACUAACUAGCUCUUACAUUUAAAUUAACCCAUUUCUAUUAAUGUGCGUAUUGCUAUGUGGUCAGUGGCUUACCGGUGGUCCUCUGGCAUGUUGCUCUUUGGGCAGCUGCUGGCGUCUCCCAGACUCCUCCCUUUUUCUCUUGUAUCUAUGCUUGGAUUUCCUGCCUGGCUCUAUUGCCUUGCCAUAGGCCAAAGCAGCUAUAUUUAUUAACCAAUGAGAGCAACACAUGAUCACAGUGUACAGAAAGACAUCCCACAUCAUUGAGAAGAUAAGAACAUGGGACAAUCUUGAUUCAUUUCACAUCUUGCCAAAGUCCCACAUCAGGAGCUUGCCUAUCAUCAGAGGUUACUGUCCAUCAUAGAAGAAAGUCAGUAAAGGAAUUCAAGCAGGAACUUGAAGGAGGAACUAUGAAGGAAUACAACUUGUUGGCUCACUCAGGACUGCCUGCCCAAGGAGCGGUGCCAUGCACAGUGGGUUUGGCCCUACCACAUCAGUUAACAGUCCAGGCAAACCCCACAUAGACAAUCAAGUCCCCACACAGAUAAUCAAGACAAUCCCCAUAAACUAGUUUAAUCUAGGCAAUUCUUUAUUUGAGACUCCCUUCUCAGGUGACUCUAGGCUGUGUCAAGUGGACAGUUAAAACUAACCAGGAUGUCCAGUUGUCUUGCCUACAUCCAGGGUGCAGAGUGGUCAAACUUGUCUUUUAGAAAUUUCACUAUGGUUGCCUUGUGGAAAGUAGCGUGAUGCUAGGCAAGGCUAGAAAGGUCCAUUAGGAAUAUAUUUGUAUGAUCCCUGAGAAAAAAAUUACAUGUCAGAUAAUGGGAUACCUGAAAUGCACCUUUCCAUUCCCAAGGCUCUAGACAAGCCAAGGAAGCAAAAGAGACUGGAGUGAAUACAAACCACAAUGUUUGCAUAAAGGCUACCUAGGGGGUCACUUACUUCUCAUGCGUACUGGGAGGUGAGUGGAUGAACCUGGCUUCCCUUUGACCCAUGAUCACUGGUAAGUAGCUGACCUUGUCCCCUCUCAGUUCACCUGGCUUCUCAUGCUCUAGGCUACAGGAGGCAUUGUUAUAGUUGUUCAUUUCCAUUUUCAACUGACUGAUGAAGCAGCCAGAGGGGAGACGAAACAGAGAGGAAGCCAUGGGCUAAGUCACUGUUACUUAUUCUCUGUGUUUGCUUAAACUCUUCUCCCAAGGCUUUUCGUUUUUGUAUUUGAAUUCUUAUUUGUCCUGUUUCUUGUUCAGAUACAAAGGGUAGCUCUAAACAAAUACUGGAGCCUUGUGAUAAAAUUUCAUUCAUAUAUGCAUUUCCCUAUAAAAAUAUGACAUGUUUUCUCUCAUCUGUGGUACUUACAUUUUAUAUAGGCAUAAAGCCAUGGAUGUAUAGAUGACAUAAAAUUAGAAGCAAAACAGUCUAGGAGAACAAGGGAGGCCAAUGGGAGGGGACAGGAGGAAGAAAAGAGAGAAUAGAAGUUAAUUCUGUAAUACAUAUAACAUAAUAUAUACUCAUAUGGAAAUACCCUUAUGUAUUAUUGUGUCAUAUACAAUGAAUAUAUACUAUGGAUUUUUAAAAUUUUAUCUAUUUAUUAUUAUUUGGAGGUAGAGGGUUGAAGCAGGGUUUCUCUGUGGCUUUGGAAGCUGUCCUGGAACUUUCUCUGUAGACCAGGUUGGCCUAGAAUUCACAAUUAUCCACCUGCCUCUGCUGAGUGCUGGAAUUAAAGGUAUGUAUUACCAUUUUAAAGUAUAUACAUAAAAGAGAAAACAUUUGCUAGUUUGCAGCAUGCAGGCCAAGUAGGAUGAAAGAGUGAUCAAAUUAAAUAAUUUUAUAUAGUUUAUGAUGAUCUUUCCCUUGUGAUUGAGAAAUUUCAGCUCUGUUCCCAUACACAACUAACUGGAAAUUUAGAUGGUCUACAUGGAUCCAACAGCUUCUUAUGAUGCCAUGGUGGGCUUCUUGACCAAUGAAGAUGUUUAUUACUGAGUGGUGGCUAGCUACAGUCAUUGGCUUCUCUUUGUGAAGUAUAGUUAAAAGCAAUAACAGCCACAUUUGCCCCCUGCCACGUUGCCUGCACCACGGUGAGGAGGAUGGUGGAAUGAGGGGGAGGAAGAAAUGAUGAGGAGACACAGAGAUGCUGUCUUUCCCCGAGUCUUCCAGUUCUGUUGCUAGCGGGGAAAAAAUAUUGACAUGACACAGAAGGUCUUGCCUCGGGGAGUCCAGCAAGUGAAAAUUGAUGGAUGUUCACCACCAAAUCCCUUUCCUUUGGGGAUGUUAUCAUGUCACAUUUCUGAAAAUAUAGAAUGCACUCUGGAUAAUAUUUUCACAUAUGCUGAUGAAUGCAGCUGCCAAGAAUAGCAUGCUUUAAAGCAAGAAGCCAGGGGAUGCUGAGGCUGCCUCUCAACAGAAUUUAUGUGCUCUCGGUCAUUCUCCAUUUCUUCAGGGAUGUUCUAUGUUUUACCUGUUUCCCUUUGCUGCAUCCUUCCAUUGAGCAUCCUUCAGAAAGUGACUGCUGCCAACUUAAAAAAAAAUGCUUGAUUCUUAGUUUUGUGAGGAUCAGAGAUGACAGAUAAUAAACUUGCUCCAUUUUGGAUGAUCAAAGACACACACAUACAUAAACACACACACACACACACACACUCACACGCACAUACACAAAGAGAGAGGGAGAGCCAAAUAACAAGCCAAACUGAAAGACAAUUUAAAAUAUAGGAACCAAAUUCAUCCAUACCAUCCACACGAAAAAAAUAUUUCUAAUCUCUAAUUUAUUUUACAUGUCAGUGCAAUCCUUCUGAAUUCUACCUUCUAAGUUUCACAGAAGAAACUGAGCCAAUGUGUCCGUGAUAUCCUAGUUUGCUUUUCUGCUGCUGUGAUAAACACCAUGAUUAAAAGUAA